GAUCCUGGCUCAGGACGAACGCUGGCGGCGCGCCUAACACAUGCAAGUCGAACGAGCGAGAGAAAGCUUGCUUUCUCAAGCGAGUGGCGAACGGGUGAGUAACGCGUGAGGAACCUGCCUCAAAGAGGGGGACAACAGUUGGAAACGACUGCUAAUACCGCAUAAGCCCACGGCUCGGCAUCGAGCAGAGGGAAAAGGAGCAAUCCGCUUUGAGAUGGCCUCGCGUCCGAUUAGCUAGG
rnacentral:rRNA from 1 species